rnacentral:rRNA from 1 species
UACGUAGGGGGCAAGCGUUGUCCGGAUUUAUUGGGCGUAAAGAGCGUGUAGGCGGCCAUGUAGGUCCGUUGUGAAAACUGGAGGCUCAACCUCGAGACGCCGAUGGAAACCAUGUGGCUAGAGUCCGGAAGAGGAGAGUGGAAUUCCUGGUGUAGCGGUGAAAUGCGCAGAUAUCAGGAAGAACACCCGUGGCUAAGGCGGCUCUCUAGUACGGUACUGACGCUGAGACGCGAAAGCGUGGGGAGCGAACAGG